rnacentral:lncRNA from 1 species
AAUAUAUUAAAAGAUUCUAUUUUAAAUUAUUUGUAAAAUCAUAACCUUUUAUGUUUACUUUUCAUUGAAAAAUUUUACUUUGAUAUACUUUGACCCAUAUGUUGUUGAUGGCGCAUAGGCCGCAUGCCAGUCCACCAAUGAAACUUGCUUAUUACGAGUUUUUUCAUGUGACGUGCUUUAGCCACCUUUAAUUGUGUCAUGGUUAAGGCCCACGUGAUUAAAAUUCUCAACCCAACCCAACUCAUGUGCGUGCUAUGUUGUGUCGUCUAGCCCACCAAAAAUGUACUCAUGCCAUUCUUUGUUGUACAGAACGUGCCAUGCUCCUGCCGUGCCAUAUGCUACCCGACCUGUUCACAAUCUCUAGUUAAGGGUGUGUCACAAUAGGAACCUGCAAUAGUAAUUGAGAAGUGUUUAUGUUGAUAUUUGCUAUGUAUUUAAUGUUCUCAACUUGAUUUUAAUAGUAGGUAACUAGCCAUGGCAACACUUCAAGAGGAGCAUUGUUGUUGACAUAUUUAAUAGAGAUAUUAGAUUAUAAGUUGUUGUAAUUAUUUGAAUAUUGAUGUAGUAAAUUUAUGGCAUAUUAGGUCAUUCCAGUGUAAGUAUUUUGUUCGUAUCGUUCUUAAUCUAUUCCAUGUUUAAACAUAAUACUAUACAACAUUUAUAUCACUAAUUCAUCUUAUGUUGUGUUUAACUAUGUAAUCCAUCAAAAGAAGAAAAAUGAGUAUUUCAUAAUUCUUAUACACUUGUUAUGAAAAUAAAUAAACUAAGUGUGUACCUUAUUGAUUUAAUUAUAAAAUACAUAAACAUAGGAGUCCAAAACAUUAGUAAGCCACUAAUUUGAACUCAGAGCAAAGGGAUUUAUACAUUUUUUUUAUGCCUUGUUCCUUGAACUGAGAACAUAUCACAGUUCUUUAUGAUACAUCCUCACCAGUAGGUGGUAAGCUGAGCUCUAAAAGAUGACUAGAAGGUGAUUUUUCUAUUAGUAGGUUUACCUUCAAUUCGAGGAUGUCUUAUGAAACUUCUAAGAAGCAACAACCAACCGGAUUGACUGGUACUGCAUAUGCCUGCAAUAAUGAUUCUUAGGAGUAAAGUGAGAAUAAAGACCUAUAUAAUCCACUCGAUCAUUUAGCCAUGUAGUAAUUGUAAGAGCACAAACAAGUUGAUCAAGUUGGAAUACUCUAUAACUAUAAAUCCUGCAUUGCCAGAAUUAAAUCUCAUGUGAGGAAAACAAUACUUGUAUUUCUAUCACUUAGGGGGUGAAAAUUUUAUAACAGUUAUGGAAAAAUAAUUUGUGACUUCCCAUAAGGUAUUGACAAUCACAAUAAUUUCAUUUGCAAAUUAUCAAUAUAGACAAAAUAUAAGUCUCUCAUUUGUCAUUUACAAUAUUUAUAACGUUAAUCUCAUUUGCUUUAUAGAAAAUAUUAUUGAUCAAAGUAUAAAUCUUUAGAUUGUUGGGAGCUAUGAAGUUUUAGUUUCAUAUAUAGAUGAUAAUUUUGCAAUAAAGUUAAGGUGUCAUGCAUAAAGUGAAUGAUUUUAUCAAUUAUGAAAGUAUAAAUUCAUUACAUGCUAUGAAAGAAAUAUGCAAGCAUUUUCGUUAAGAAAUUUUGUCAAUAGUUUGAAAAUUAUUGUCAAUAUAAAGACCAUUGAUAUUCUUCACCAUAAUUUUAUUAUUCAAGGAAAAUAUGAGUAGAAGCCAAAAAUAAAUUUAUUGACAUAAAGCUAAGUUAUGAAAGAUCAUUUUAAUAAGUAUGAGCUAACUAUUGAUCAUAAAUAGACAUAAAACUCAUGUUAAAAGAUCACAUGAGCAAAAUUUUGCUAGCUAAAUUAUAUAAUGAUCAUAUAAACUGUAUGGUUUUAUUAGCUGAAUUUCAGUUAUCUUAUUUGUGAUCAUAAAGAAUUUUGAAAAGCCUAUUGGGACUAUCUAAGUUGGACCCUAAAUAAUUUAUGAAAUUUUAUUCAUAAGUAUCUACAUACUUUAGAAAGUUUCAUACUGGUAAUACGUGGAAGGAAUUAAAUCUUCUUUUUAAACAUAUAACAUCCAUGAUUCAUGUACUGAGACUUUCUUUUAAGUUUAUAAAAUUUCAAUUGUAUAUGGAUAAUUACUGGUUUAAUGGGCAUACCUAGUUAUGAAUUUAUUCUUCAUUUAGCAUGCAAACCAAGUGGGAGAAUGUAAGAAUGUUUAUUAUGUAGUCUACAUGAAAAGUCACUUAAUUAAAUAAUUAAUGGAUAAAUUCAUAUUAAUGACCUACUUAUUUCUUUUAAGGUAUAGUGGUAGAAUUUAUUAACCAUUUUCAUAAUGGAAAUGAUAAAGUUUUUAUUAAUAUUAAUUCUCUGAUGGAAGGAAGGGUAAAGUACUACGAUAAAAUUUUUAAUUAUGAAUUACUACUACAAAAGGAUCCCUCGCUUAACCAAAUCUAUGCUUGCUAAGGGUUUGUUUUCCAUCAUAAGAGAAAGGGUAUAAAGUGUAAUAGGCUAGAAGAUACCUAAUGUUAAUUUAAGCAUGUUGAAACUUGAACAACUAUGAUUAGAGGUACGAUCAUAUUCAUAAUUUACUUAUUUUAUAUUCUCCAUAUAGCUUCAAUAGUGUUGUGAUUCUAUAAACCUCAAAGUUCUAUUAAUGAUCUAACUUGAAAUCUUGCAAUCAAAGCUCAUUCAACUCACUUUUAACAUUAAGAAAAAUAGCCGACUUUAGGUGACUGUAUCUAUCAUACAAGUUGUUCUAAAAGAUACGUUAUUAAAAGAUAUUAUGUCUCUGCUGAUUGAUGGAGAUGAUGAUGAUGAAGAAAGAGAAUUGCUUUGGCAUAUUCUUAAAUAGAUAUGUUAUUGCCAAACUUGAUUGGUGUUAUCGAGACCGACAACACCAAGAUGAAUCUCUACAUUAAGGAUUCAUGACAAGUAAUAUCCACUAUAGAUAUUAAGGGCAUCAAAUCAAGUAUUGUUAGAUUAGCCAUCUUUAAUCUUAUUCUUUUGGCCCUAUUGCAAUGUUGGUGAGAAAAUAAACAAGAAAAAUAGAAUAUCUAAGC